AGAGAGAGAGGAGAGUGAGGUCAGACUGAGAGAGUGGCAGUAAAGCAGUCAGCCCUGAGAGGAGGAAGAAGAGAGAAGAAAGACAUGAGGACCUCACACUGAACUCUGCCAGGAGCCCCGAGUUUCCAUCUUCUAGCUGCCACAUCAUGAACUUCCUCAGCCAGGACUCUGUGGCUGCUGUCAGGGUCUAAAAGGUUUUUGCUGUCACCCAUAUUUCAACAACACCAGCCUCAGCAGCCACAGGUGCUUUAGUACCUCAAACCAGGUGCUGAAGCAGAGGUGGACACAGGGGGAUGCAGGGCAGCAUUAAAGCAGACCGUGUUCUUCCUGGCCUGGGUAGGAUGUCGGCCAUGACGGAGCCUCUCCACUCAGACCCCCUGGAGAAGCUAAAUAGCCAGGCGGAUUCUUUCCUCACGGCAGCCCGGCUUCACCGCAGAGGAUGGACAGCGGAGGGGAAAAAGACAAGGUGGCAAUUUUCUGAUCUUGACUGCUCAGUGCGUCAACCCCCUCUGUCCAGGUCAGAUGGAAAUCAGGGUCCAGAAUGUGCUGAGAUCUGCCCAAAGGAUCCCAGGAGCAGGCAGGUUCCUGUUGUGAACAACAGAGAGGACAGAAAGAUGUGCUCUGAAAAACAGGGAGAUGAAGCAAAACAGACAAGUGAAGGUGGAUUCUCAGCUAGUGGACAAGCAGAAAGACAGACAACCAUUAUUUGUGUCUGGGCUUCUCGCUGUCGCACCUCAUGCAGACAGUCCAAAAGGUUCAAGGCCCCAAUACUACCAGUCAUUGCUGAGAUCUAGGCCAGCUAGCGUUUGCUCCAGAAAGGACAAUGAAUGAAAGGCAAGGUACAUGUAAAACAUUUUCGAUACACUAAGAGCACUAGAAUCUAUCUAGACUUUAAUCAAACCUUGAGAUUUAAAGACUUUGAUGGCAUGAAUGUUGUUUUAAUGAUGUGAUUAAAUGGACAGUGUAUGUAUGAUAAUGAUGUGUUGAUGCCAAGUUUGUUCAUUAAAUGCACAUUUGUACAAAUGUAACAAUAUGUAAUUGUUCUGUUCUGUAAAUGUAAUAAUGAAUGUUUGCGUUACA